rnacentral:rRNA from 1 species
ACGGGAGGCAGCAGUGGGGAAUAUUGCACAAUGGGGGAAACCCUGAUGCAGCAACGCCGCGUGAGUGAAGAAGUAUUUCGGUAUGUAAAGCUCUAUCAGCAGGGAAGAUAAUGACGGUACCUGACUAAGAAGCUCCGGCUAAAUACGUGCCAGCAGCCGCGGUAAUACGUAUGGAGCAAGCGUUAUCCGGAUUUACUGGGUGUAAAGGGUGCGUAGGUGGCAUGGUAAGUCAGAUGUGAAAUACCGGGGCUCAACCCCGGGGCUGCAUUUGAAACUGCCAGGCUGGAGUACAGGAGAGGCAGGCGGAAUUCCUAGUGUAGCGGUGAAAUGCGUAGAUAUUAGGAGGAACACCAGUGGCGAAGGCGGCUUUCUGGACUGUAACUGACACGGAGGCUCGAAAGCGUGGGGAGCAAACAGGAUUAGAUACCCUGGUA